GCCUCAUCAUUAGAACUGUUUCCUUUUGCUCUUCUUCUCAAAACAAGGUCGCAGAUCCACAGGCCAUCAAGAUAAUUUGGUUCAUGCUAAAGUUAUUGAACGUACGAUGGAACCAGUGAUCUUUCAAAAAGCUACCAAAACUUUGCCUACACUGUCCAUCUCUGUUCUCCGUCGUCCGUUACUUGGUUGCUUUUGUUUUCACCCAGCUACGAAAACUUUUCCUACACUGUCCUACACUGUCCAUCUCUGUUCUCCGCCGUCUGUCACUGUAAGGGUGUUGUGCGAGAAGGCCAAGGAAAUAUUAAUGGAAGAAAGCAAUGUCCAGCCUGUAAAAAGCCCUUUAACUAUCUGUGGUGAUAUUCAUGGACAAUUCCAUGAUCUGGCGGAGCUUUUCCGCAUUGGAGGAAAGUGCCCAGAUACAAACUAUUUGUUUAUGGGAGAUUAUGUGGACCGUGGCUAUUAUUCAGUUGAAACAAUGACUGGUUUUGAUCAAUGGCAAGCCCAAAAGGCCUAACUAUCUGCCUCUGGAGAUUUGUGCUUCCCCAUGGGGUUUCUCUUGGUGUUUUAGCUUUGUUCAUUAGUUUCGCUUCAACGGUAUACGAAAGCAUUAUCUUCAAAGCAGAGGGCAUCCUUAGUUGAAAAAUCAAGGCAGAAGGCUCAGGAAAGAAUAAGAACUGUGACUGAUAUAGCUUUGCAGGUCAUGAAAGUAGUGAAUUUGUAGCACAGUGGAAAUAUGUGGAAUGAGGGCGAUGUCUUCUACUUGCUCAUCCAAAGGUUCCAAUUUUUUGCAUUCUUUUGGGGUUUUUUUUUCUUAAUUUUAUUUAUGAAAUUAGAUGACUAAUUUUAAAUAAUGAGAAAUUAGUUCUUCGUUGUGAAAUGUUCAUUUUUCGGUGUUUCUAUUAAAACAAUGAAAUCUUAAUCUUGUACCAAAUGGGCUGUAAUUUCAUAUGUUUUAAUGUAAACAGUUCACUGA